GUUUGAGAAACACUGCAUUAAGUGACCUGACUUGACCACACCUCUCCAUGCUCUUCAGUCAAUGACGUCGCUUAGUCUCGCGCUUGACACCUUUACUUUGAUUCGGAAUCAAUCCCUCGUCUACUCCACUAGCUUCACUGUCGUUCUACCUGAGCUGGCUGAGUGGUCUCGUCGCCUCUGUCAAGUUUGGAGCCUUCAAAAACUUCGCCCUGAAGUUACUGGGACUUUUCACAUUACCACAAAAGUAAGUUUUAUUUUCUUAACGUUAACACUAGAUGUAUUUUGGUAAGGUUAACAGCGUUCUUUGUAUCGAUAGCUAUCUUAAAUGAGCCUGGUACCUAAGCGGCUAGCUAACGUUAACGUUAACUUUAACUUUCGAGCUAGCACUACUGGUUAACGCUAACGACCACGUAAAUUACUCUAAUCAUAUCACUUUUAUUCGACUUAUGUUGUCAAAACCAAUGUUUACGAAUUGUUUCCGACAAUUCGUAGGGUAGUACCAUAACGUUAGCUGACUCAAAGUCUGUCAUUUGGAAAUUAUUGAAACGUAGGACUUCUAACGUUAUAAGUUACAUUGCUCGCUAUCUGAGGUAAAGUUUGGCUGCUAACGUGGCUAACUAACGUUGUGCCUAGCUAUCAUUUACUUUAAAUAGACAUGUACUUUGUGACAUUCAUUAUCACAUAAACAACGUAGUUAGAAUAGCCUACAUUGCUCGCUAACGUUACGUUGUCUUGGAAUGAAGUUAGCAAGUUAGAAGUUGACAGCUAACGUGGCCAACUAACAGGUCUAGCCAUUAUCUAGCCUACUUUAACUAGACAUGUACUUUGUGACAUUCAUUAUCACUUUUAUUCGACGUAUGUGUUGUGAAAAACAACUUAUAUUAACUAUGCCCCACAGUUGGUCAGGUAGUAGUAUAGUUGACUCGUGAAGACUGACAUUUGGAAACUAUCAAUAGUUUAUGCUAAAACACUGCAGCAACACCGAAAGGUCAGGGCCACAACGCAAAACCGCAAACGAAAUUAAGGCGUUAACGUUAACGCCUCUCCAUAGAAAAACAAUUGGCCAACGCGGAAGCGUUUGACAGUAUGCCUUGAACUAGGACGUUAACGUUGCAUGACCUAAGGCCUGCUAGAUGUUGCCAACAUGCCUGUAAUAUGAACCUCCAUAGGCAUAUGGGUAAUGAACAACAGGGUGAUAUAACACAAAAAUCUACCCUGAAUCCAAUGCUAUCACAUAUUUUCUAACUUUAUGGUGGCGGAAAAAUAAUAGACUUAUCUAGAAUAUCUCAGCCUAUCAACAUACUGGCCCAAUUCUUUUCUGAUUAUAAUGUUACAGCAAACAAACAUAUUUCUAAGUGUGCCCCUAAUAUUUGUGUCGAGUACAUGUCAUGUUAUUUAACCUAAAGGUACUACUUGGUCACACAGAUAAGAGGUUGUGCCGCAUUUUGUUAAUUUAACAUAAUUGUGUUGCAUUGUAAUGUUAUAGCAGUGGUCACGGUUUCACACAAUUUUCUUUAUUCACAACAGAAAGCAAUUGUCUUUUUAAAGACUUCCUCCAUCUCCACCUUCCCUUGUGCUACGGCAGUCUUUGCCAAAGAAAUACUGCAUCUCAAGAUUCCCAUCUCCCAUCCUGUCUUCCCUUGCUGUGCUGCAGACUUUUAAGGCUUGUUCCAGACCAGCCCUGUCCGAGUGGUGUCUGCGUGUCACUUGUGACGCUGCCUAUCAUCGUCUGCACACCCUGCACUACACUGCACUGCACUCAUACAACAGAACCCACUAACGCCUACCUGCAAACAUAUCUACGACAAGAACCAAACACUUGCUGAGAACAUAUCUGACUGCACAUACUGUACUCUGAACCCUUUUGAUUGAAACCGCCUUUGAGAUUGAAACCGCCUUUGAAAUUGAAACCGCCUUUGAAACUGAAUCCUUUUCUGAAUACUACUCUGCAUCAUAUUGAGACUCUGAAUAUCACUCUGAACCAGCAAACCCACUCUAAACAUACCUGCAGACAUAUUUCUGACAAGAAUUGACCACUUUCUGAUCACGCAUACCUUGCUACUAUAUAUUUCAAUAAUACCUGUCAAAGUUGUCUUUGCUGUUAUACCUACUUUUAGACCUGGGCUGUGCUGCAAGACUGAAUCUGAGCUGUGUGAGGACUUCGAGAUUCCAUCCUAGUUCUGCAUAAAACUGAUCAUCUCAAGA